UGAAGCUUAAAGAAAAUAUGUAAGAUUAGUUGCUGGCCCUGGUCAGGGACUUCAGACCCUGCGCUGACCAACUAAGUGAAGUAGGGUCAGGUUACCGGUGGCACUGAGCCUUGUGCUGUCCAAGUGCAUGGUGGGGAUAAAACAUCACCUGUUUAAUGUUUGGUUAUAAGGGCAGAGCAACAAAGAUGGGGCAGGCAUCUAGAACGGUAGUCAGUACUCUCACAAUACUACACAGAAGCAGCCAAGAGGGUGUCCUUUUCUGUGAGCAUUUGGUACAAGUUUGUCUCUUUCCUUGACAGAAGAGCUAAGGGCACAGAUGUGAACUGGUGCCCAGUGCCUUCCAGUAAGUCUUCCAGCCGGUCACCCCUCACAGCCUUGAGAAACACGUGAGGCCGCUUUCAAGAGUUACAUCAUGCAGGGCACCCCACCCUCUGAGAACAAACUCACCCCUGACCAGCCGUGGGGCAGGAACUGGCCUUCAGCCCAGUAUUUGCCAUUGACGAAGAAGAGGCCUGCGAUCAUGAUGAACACCCACACUGCCAGGUUCAGCACAUUGAGGACGUUGUUGAAGCCCACGGAGUUCUUCACACCCAGAGCCACAAUGAUGGUCACAAUGACCGCAAUCACCAGAGCCAGAAGGUCUGGGUAUGAUUCCUCCCCUUUCCCUAGAGGAGGAAGACAUGGUUAAUAUUGUCUAAGGAGGAGAAGGUGCCCCGUAGACUCAUUCUGCCUCUUCGAACCUGGGUGGUUACAACCCUUAGAGUGGUGAUUAGUCUGUCAGAAAGAGCGGUGAAGGCUGCCUGUCUGUCUUUCUCUCUCUGUACACACAACACGCCAUUGUCAUGGUCCAUAAGCAGAUAUAAAUGUUUAUCUGCAAAUGAGGAAGUUUGGGACACAGCUAAGAUGGCCUCGAGUCGUGCCGUAGAUCAAAAUUCAGGACACGUAACAGUCACAGUGUACCCGUGUAGGCAUGGGAAGCGCAUGUAGUCAGGAGCAUCUUGGGACAUUUGAAACACAUAGAUAGGUCUAACGUAUUUGAAAACUCCUUUGCCUUCAUUAUUGUAAGCUUUGUGAUCUGUAUGAUUUCUAUCUCAUUCCCACAAUCUCUGCUUUAUUAGCACGUAUUAAAAUGUGCGUAUUUGAAAGCCAUUCUGGUGGUUUCUCGUUUGCAGUGUGGGGUUGCAGAGAGAAAAUGCCAGGGGCCCGGGUCCUGCUGAUGCUUGGGUCCUGGUGGCUCAGACCAUCCAUUGCCCAGUGGACUCCUGCCCUCUACAGAGAGGAAGACGCAUUGCCUCAGCAGCCAGGGAGCCUGGAUUCCUGCUGCACUUUUGCAGGCAGCCCACCGUGAGGCCUUGGGCACAGUGCCUCAUCUGCAAAGUCUCAAAUGACCACAUAAGCACUGUACUGCUGAACUCCAUCCCUAACUGUCUUGGGAAAUUCUGAGGCAAGACUGCAAAGCUUCAACUAUCAGUAUGAAUCCUGUGGAUAUGGAAGGAUGUAUCAGGUAUCAGGACGGAAGCGGUGGCAAGUCACAGCUGGUCUGUCUCCUGGUACUUGUUAGAUGACCUUUGACCACUCAGCCCUUGCUCAGUAAUAGGAUGCCCUGCGGAAGUUGGUUGAACCGGAAUCCAUUUUGUUCCUUAAAAUUGUUUAUUUGGAAAAGAAAACAUUCAUUUAUUAAAAUAUAAUUUAUAAAAAAAUUACAAGGAAAA